UACGUAGGCAGCGAGCGUUGUUCGGAGUUACUUGGACGUAAAGGGUGUGUAGGCGUUGUUUAAGUUUGGUGUGAAAUCUCCGGCUCAACUGGGAGGUGCGCCGAAUACUGAAUGACUUGGAGUGCGGGAGGGGAGAGUGGAAGUUCCUGGAUGUGAGCGGUGGAAAUACGGUAGAUAUCAGGAGGAACACCGGUGGCGAAGGCGGGUCUCUGGGCCGAUACUGACGCUGAGGAGCGAAAGCGUGGGGAGCGAACAGG
rnacentral:rRNA from 1 species